UCACAGGAGCAAAUGGCACAGGCUGC
rnacentral:piRNA from 1 species